rnacentral:lncRNA from 1 species
CCCGCCCCAAACUGAGGCGGAGGAAAGGAGACACAGAAAGGCUGAGAGAUUACGCCACCGCAAGAGCGCGCGCCCAGCCGGCCAGUUCGGCUGCGCAACUUCCCAGGAGCCACCGCCCACCAGCCCCGAGCGCGCCUGCGCACCUUCCCGCCCCGCCCUUGCCCGCACAGGUGUGGCACCCGCCCGCCCCGCCGCACGGAGCCGCCUGCCCGCGGCCACACGCCAGGCGUCACUCGGGCUGGCGCCGGUCUACCUAGGCAGGCGUGGGACCUGUCGGGGGCUUCACGGCAGCGCGGAAGGCCAGCCUGCAGAGAGGCUGGGCCCAGCGCCCUGACUGACCCAGCCCCGCCACGUCCAAGGUUCCCGCCCUCUGGAGGAAGCCGCGCAAUCACUCCGGGGGCGGGGAGAGACAGACAACUGAGAGGAAGGAGGUACCACGGGCACUCUCUCGCGAGAGGGCCGCAGAGCCGCCUUUGACGGGGGCGUGUACCUGGAGAGCAACGUGACAUCUGUUUGAGCAGAUGAAUAUGCCAUUGGGAAAGUCAAGGACUGUCGGAGAGGAGGACAUGGCAGACCUUAACUAAAGUGAGGGGGACAGUAGAGCACUAAAAGUUCUAGGAAAGGAGAUGAACUGCUUAUUCCAUCAGAUGAAAAUAUAGUCAGAACAGAUGAGUAGUAGAACUUAAACAUGCCCGGAGUUGCCAGGAAUUUGCAAAAGCCUUGAUAUAAUUCCUGUUGCUGUAGAAAGACUUUCUACAGUCACUAAUAUAUCAAGUUAUGUUCACUAGAAAAAAAGUUUACUUAGUUUAUAGAAAUGGGCUGAAAAAUCCUAAUUACUUAUCUGUGAGGUUAUUUUCAUGAAGGUUAAUCAUCCAGAAACUAUUAGAGAGCCUCGGAAUAUAUUUCUUCUAAUCUGCUCUACCUAUCCCAUUCAAAGGAGGGAAUCUGAAGAUUUAAGGACAAAGAGCAGUUGAAAACUCAGAGCUGUGGUUAAUGGGAGAAUUUCAAGGAUGGUGAAAAAAACUAACAUCAUUGCAUCCCUGUUUUUUGUAUUCUGGACUUUUUAGUUUAGCUCUUGGUAAACUACAUCAGAAAUUCUUUAUGCUAACUCUAACACACAUUUUGGGGUAUUGCUAAUUUAAUCUUUGAAUACUGUUUUUGCUGUUUCAUGAUUAUAUGUUAUGUCCUACCAGCUAGAUUGCCAACUCUUGACUACUGACUGGAAGUUUAUUGUUUAUUCAGCAAAUAAUGAAUUAAGUCAGUGAAGUGAGAGAUUUCGUGUGUAAGGAUUGUUAACUUGAACAUUUCACCAGUUACACACAGUUCAGCCCUACUUAAAUUUUAAAAAUCAUUGUUGGCACUUGACAUUGUUAUGAGGAGUUUUGUAUUUUCAACUUGUAUUUUGAGAGUGUCCUCAUGUGACUGAAGUAUGUGCUACUCUUCUUAAUUGAAUAACCCCAGAAUCUCCAGAAUUGAUAAUUGGAGGAAAUUCUACUGUUGGAAAGAAUGGAUGGAUUAUACAGCCCUGUUUUUUGACUGUUCAUUUUGUCCUUGGAGUCACUACCACUUGGCCUCAAAGUGUGAACAUGUAACCCUUUCCUUAAUACUUUGCUACACAGCUGAGCAGAAACUGUAAAUUUGGAUCCUUUGUCAGUACAACUUAAAAUGGAACAAUUUCAAUGGCUUAGGGUAAGAUAAGUAUGUAAAGAUACUUUUGUAAUAGAAGAAAAAACAUUGGAUAUUAAAAUCACACAGUAGUA